CCUACGGGUGGCAGCAGUAGGGAAUCUUCCACAAUGGGCGAAAGCCUGAUGGAGCAACGCCGCGGGGGUGAAGAAGGUCUUCGGAUCGUAAAACCCUGUUGUUAGAGAAGAAAGUGCGUGAGAGUAACUGUUCACGUUUCGACGGUAUCUAACCAGAAAGACACGGCUAACUACGUGCAAGCAGCCGCGGUAAUACGUAGGGGGCAAGCGGUAUCCGGAUUGAUUGGGCGUAAAGGGAAAGGAGGCGGUCUUUUAAGUCUGAUGUGAAAGCCGUCGGCUUAACCGGCGUAGUGCAUUGGAAACUGGGAGACUUGAGUGCAGAAGAGGAGAGUGGAACUCCAGGUGUAGCGGUGAAAUGCGUAGAUAUAUGGAAGAACACCAGUGGCGAAAGCGGCUCUCUGGUCUGUAACUGACGCUGAGGUUCGAAAGCGUGGGUAGCAAACAGGAUUAGAUACCCGAGUAGUC
rnacentral:rRNA from 1 species